AAAUUGAAGAGUUUGAUCAUGGCUCAGAUUGAACGCUGGCGGCAGGCCUAACACAUGCAAGUCGAACGGUAACAGAAAGCAGCUUGCUGCUUUGCUGACGAGUGGCGGACGGGUG
rnacentral:rRNA from 1 species